GGGUUGUGAGGUUAAGCGACCAAGCGUACACGGUGGAUGCCCUGGCAGUCAGAGGCGAUGAAGGACGUGCUAAUCUGCGAUAAGCGCCGGUAAGGUGAUAUGAACCGUUAUAACCGGCGAUUUCCGAAUGGGGAAACCCAGUGUGACUCGUCACACUAUCAUUAACUGAAUCCAUAGGUUAAUGAGGCGAACCGGGGGAACUGAAACAUCUAAGUACCCCGAGGAAAAGAAAUCAACCGAGAUUCCCCCAGUAGCGGCGAGCGAACGGGGAGGAGCCCAGAGCCUGAAUCAGCAUGUGUGUUAGUGGAAGCGUCUGGAAAGGCGCGCGAUACAGGGUGACAGCCCCGUACACAAAAGCGCAUAUGCUGUGAGCUCGAUGAGUAGGGCGGGACACGUGGUAUCCUGUCUGAAUAUGGGGGGACCAUCCUCCAAGGCUAAAUACUCCUGACUGACCGAUAGUGAACCAGUACCGUGAGGGAAAGGCGAAAAGAACCCCGGCGAGGGGAGUGAAACAGAACCUGAAACCGUGUACGUACAAGCAGUGGGAGCCCCACCACCAAAGCGUUUCGCUUUGUGUGGUGCACAAAGAAGCGUAACGACAGCACUGGCUGACGGUUAACGGAGCGUAAGCGACGUUCAACACAAAAAUCAGGCAGUGGAGCGCUUUGGGGUGGGGUGACUGCGUACCUUUUGUAUAAUGGGUCAGCGACUUAUAUUCUGUAGCAAGGUUAACCGCAUAGGGGAGCCGAAGGGAAACCGAGUCUUAACCGGGCGUUAAGUUGCAGGGUAUAGACCCGAAACCCGGUGAUCUAGCCAUGGGCAGGUUGAAGGUUGGGUAACACUAACUGGAGGACCGAACCGACUAAUGUUGAAAAAUUAGCGGAUGACCUGUGGCUGGGGGUGAAAGGCCAAUCAAACCGGGAGAUAGCUGGUUCUCCCCGAAAGCUAUUUAGGUAGCGCCUCGUGAACUCAUCUCCGGGGGUAGAGCACUGUUUCGGCUAGGGGGCCAUCCCGGCUUACCAACCCGAUGCAAACUGCGAAUACCGGAGAAUGUUAUCACGGGAGACACACGGCGGGUGCUAACGUCCGUCGUGAAGAGGGAAACAACCCAGACCGCCAGCUAAGGUCCCAAAGUCAUGGUUAAGUGGGAAACGAUGUGGGAAGGCCCAGACAGCCAGGAUGUUGGCUUAGAAGCAGCCAUCAUUUAAAGAAAGCGUAAUAGCUCACUGGUCGAGUCGGCCUGCGCGGAAGAUGUAACGGGGCUAAACCAU
rnacentral:rRNA from 1 species